CAGCCCAAAUAAUAUUUUAACAGGAGCAGCAGAUUUGUGAGGUUGGCUUAAUCACACUCCAGGAGAUAUUGAAGAUAGUCAGAAGCAGAACUUGCUGCUUCUGUUUUCGUCCUCAGGAGCACACACUAGGUCCUGCAUAAUCUUAGCAGUGACAGAAUAUUGGUUCUCCAUAAUUAUCCAAUGAUCCUCAAGGUUAUGCAAACUCCAAAUUUUACAGAUUCUCUCUCUCGUUGCCCAGGCUGAAGCGCAAUGGCUCAGUCGCAGCUCACUGCAACUUCUGCCUCCCAGGUUCAAGAGAUUCUUCUGCCUCAGCCUCCUGAGUUGCAGGGAUUACAGGAGUGUGCCACGACGCCUGGCUAAUGUUUUGUACUUUUAGUAGAGAUGGGGUUUCACCAUCUCAGCCACGCUGGUCUUGAACUCCUGAUCUCAAACGAUCUGCCUGCCUUGGCCUCCCAAGGUGCUGAGAUUACAGACGUGAGCCACUAUACCUGGCCUCAAUAUUCCCUUAAUAAAUGUGUAUUGCUAUUUUUGUGUCCUCUGCGUGUAAUAGGACUCAUUUAACAAUUGUUCUAACAGAAACCUUCAUUUAUCCACAGGAAAUAUGAUACAGAUCUUUCUCCAUAUUAAGACUGGGAAAUUUUUUGUGACAAAGUUGAAUUGUUGCUUUACUCCCUUUUUUGCUUUGUGACAUUGGAUUAAA
rnacentral:lncRNA from 10 species